rnacentral:rRNA from 1 species
UACGUAGGGACCAAGCGUUGUUCGGAUUUACUGGGCGUAAAGGGCGCGUAGGCGGCCCUGUCAGUCGGCUGUGAAAACCUGGGGCUCAACCCCGGGCCUGCAGCCGAUACGGGCAAGCUAGAAUUCGGUAGGGGAGACUGGAAUUCCUGGUGUAGCGGUGAAAUGCGCAGAUAUCAGGAGGAACACCGGUGGCGAAGGCGGGUCUCUGGGCCGAAAUUGACGCUGAGGAGCGAAAGCGUGGGGAGCGAACAGG